AGAUGAGCCAUUUUCAGGAGGAGAUGAGUCAAGAGCAGCUGAAGUCAGUGUCCAGGGCUGCCUUGUGAUAGGAAGAAAAGAUGUUCCUGAAAUUCUUGGUAUUGAUCUUUUGGAUUCAACUGCCAUGGCGGAGCAGCCAGCAGCUGGAGCAGAGGCCUCGGUUUCUAAGCAUCCAGGAGGGAGAAAAUGUCACUGUGUACUGCAACUCCUCAAGCACUUUCACCACCUUUCAAUGGUACAGACAGGAGCCCAGGAAAGGUCCUGUCCUCUUAAUGACAUUAGCUAAGGGUGGAGACAUGAAGGUGCAGAAGAGACUAAUGGCUCUGUUUGGUGAAGCAAGAAAGGACAGCUCCCUGCUCAUCACUGCAGCCCAGCCUGGGGAUGUGGGCACCUACCUGUGUGCGGGGACACAGUGCUUUGGGGGCACCUGCUGCCUGCACACAAAGCCUCUGCUGCAGGCCCCAGUCACACUGCUCUGGCAUUCCUCCAGCUCCUCCUCACACACCUCUUGGGAUGAACAAUGAUUACGACCUCACCCCCUCACAAAACCGCUUCUGCUGCCUUUCCAGAACAUGUCCCACAAGCACUGGGGAACAAGAUUCCUCUGCUAUAAGAGAAACUUCUGCAAAUGUAGCUCUCUGUUUAAACUGGUAAAAAUAUGGGUCUAUAGCUCCCCAGGGUAAGCAGUGGGGGGAAAAGGAGAGUCCAUACGGAGGGACAAAUGGAAGAAAUCAG